ACGAAAACAGAAACGGAAAGGCAACUCUAAAUUGUUCGCCUCGUCAUGAAAGCUUUCAAUUCAAAAGACAUAAAGAAGAAAAUUUUCUACAGAAACUCAAAUUAAAUUCAAAUUAAAUUUCACAACCCACAAAUAUUUACCGUUCAUUUAGCGAAAAAAAAAAAAAUGAACGAAAAACGAAACAUUCUCAGCGGAAAAAUGCGCAAACAAAUCUCACGCAAGCCAUCAUCUUCUCCCUCAAUUGUUCUGUAAGAGAAAACAAUGUCAUUAUCAUCAUCAGCAUCUGCUACGGAAUCAUGCGAGGAUGCAGUUUUAUUUAUGGACUUUUGUCAAAUGCAGUGGAAAUGCUAAGCUAUGCCCUGGAUGUGUAACAAAUCCCACAGUGAGGCAGGUUCCCCAAGUUAUUACAUUAGCCACACUCUACGAAGGCAUUAACACGACAGACACGAAGAGGCGAAGAAACAGCAUCAAUAAACCUGUUACAAUGUCACGUAAGAAAAAGUUCCAUUCAAAAUUGCUGUCACAUAAAAUACGAGACGACAAAAUGUACCGCUAAAAGUCUAUCCCAAGCUUUACACUCAAACUAAAAUAAGCGCUAAAUUACAUUCUGGUGAGAGUUCAGAUUGAGUAUGACAACUAAUGUACACGGGUCAAAUCAGUUGUUUCCAUAUCUUUUUGUCUAAAUAUAUAUUUGAUUGAAAAUC